GACAGAACUGGAAUUAUUUCGCUGAGAAUGAGGCGGACAGUGUGAAAAUGAUGGAGGAGGUGGAGAAGCUGUGUGACAGACUGGAGCUCACCAGUCUGCAGUCCCUGAACGAAGUCCUGGCCUCAGGCUCCAAAGAAGACAGCAAGGCA